UCGGCUUAGAGUUUGAUCAUGGCUCAGGACGAACGCUGGCGGCAUGCCUAAUACAUGCAAGUCGAACGAGUGCUUGCACAGUGGCGAACUGGUGAGUAACACGUGGGAAAUCUGCCCAGAAGCAGGGGAUAACACUUGGAAACAGGUGCUAAUACCGUAUAACAACAAAUCCGCAUGGAUUUUGUUGAAAGGUGUUCGUAUCACUUCUGGAUGAUCCCGCGGCGUAUUAGUUAGUUGGUGAGGUAAAGGCCCACCAAGACGAUGAUACGUAGCCGACCUGAGAGGGUAAUCGGCCACAUUGGGACUGAGACACGGCCCAAACUCCUACGGGAGGCAGCAGUAGGGAAUCUUCCACAAUGGACGAAAGUCUGAUGGAGCAAUGCCGCGUGAGUGAAGAAGGGUUUCGGCUCGUAAAACUCUGUUGUUAAAGAAGAACACCUUUGAGGUAAUUCAAGGGUUGACGGUAUUUAACCAGAAAGCCACGGCUAACUACGUGCCAGCAGCCGCGGUAAUACGUAGGUGGCAAGCGUUGUCCGGAUUUAUUGGGCGUAAAGCGAGCGCAGGCGGUUUUUUAAGUCUGAUGUGAAAGCCUUCGGCUUAACCGGAGAAGUGCAUCGGAAACUGGGAGACUUGAGUGCAGAAGAGGACAGUGGAACUCCAUGUGUAGCGGUGGAAUGCGU
rnacentral:rRNA from 1 species